UGCACUGUGCCAAGCUCUGCCAAUCUCGGUU
rnacentral:piRNA from 1 species